rnacentral:lncRNA from 1 species
AAGUAGCCGGUUUUCGUUCCACCGGUCACCAGCGUGUCGUGGCCCAACGACUUUCUCCGGCAUAGUCGCGUCGCAUCCCUCUCCCCUCCUCUGGUCGCUAGGCGCCCAACCAUUCCGAAUUCGAUCACGGACUCACGGCGUAGCUAGCUUCCAAAAUGUGCACCCUCCGAGUCGUGCGAAAAAAAAUCUAUGUAACGGGUCUCACGUCCAACCUAGAUCCCUCUUAUAUUACGCGCCUAUCUAACGGGAAUGUUAACGCACGAACGAAUGAACGACUUGUCUUCUCGCGCGACGGUGCUUGGGUCGUCUGAUGCAUGCACAGAUGAACCUCUUGCAGUCUUGUACUGAUAUUGCUGAUGCAUCAGAGGCGGAGGAUGGGUCGCGCCAGCGCGGCGUCACGCAGAAGUGAAUACGUAAAAAUAAACCUAAAGGAAAACCAAAUAUAAUUACGGUUUUGUUAUUAAGAAGUCACCUGAUUUUUAUUUAGAAAUUAGUCGAUAUGUUUGGCCGUCCGAUCUUCAUCUAAUUAACGGCAUCAUGUGGAGGAUGUGGGAGUGAAGAUGGCACAUGUAUCUUAAUCCAACAAAUCUGGUGUGGUCGAUUUAGAUUUAAUUAGAUGCUGAGAUAUAGCCACACCUAUAUAAUUAUUAAAAGAAAACCAAAAUAAUUAUUAAAAAAACAAAUCAAAAUAAAAAAAAAGCACUCUCGAUAUUUUCAGCUAAUACAAAUGUUGGACAACUGGAGUAGCUUUUUAUUCACUCUCCUUUGGCUCCGAUAUCAUUUCAUUUUUAUUCUGCUGUUUUUUCUUACUCCAAUCCCAUUAUUCAUAUCUCACAAUAGUGAAAGUGAAAAAGUUAAGUGGUGAGGCCUACCCAUUCUAACUCGUGGUAUGAUGGGAUUCACUCUUUGUUUCGCUACGCACCAUAAUAUUUGACUUUUUUUUUCUUUGGGUCUCAAUUUCACUUUAGAUUAUUCAUUCCUGUUUGUGUGUCAACGGGUUUCACUUGCAUAUGUGUCAAGUUUUCCUACUACAACAUAUAUGUGAAUCGGUUUAACACAAUUUUAAAGGAUAACAUGGAAUUAUUUUCGGGCCUCACACUCAGUGGCAGUGCCAGCACCCAAAACAUGUGAUGUCAACGUGUCUUGUACACACCUAGAAAUUACG